UGUUCUAAAUAAAUGUAUCAUCAAUAAUAAAAUAUCUAAUUCUAAUAAAUAUAUUCUAAACGCAGAGCUAUAAGCGAUAAGCAGAGAGCUCGCAGCACCUAACUAUACUCAAUACUCAAUACUCAAUAAAUAUAUUCUAAUAAAAUAUCAUUAUCAACACUUCAGCUCAAUAGUUUUAUUAAUAUAUAUUAACUACACUAUAAAUAUAUAUAUAACUAAACUAUAUAUUUUUUUAAUCUGUUAGUUUCUUGACCCGUUUCUCAUUUUGUGGCAGUUAAAAUCCAUUCUUACUUCACAGUUUAACUAUUCUUCCAAGAGUCUUAUCCCACUUUCCCCUUGUUGCCCAGCUGAGGUUAACUUUUAGAAAUGUCUCUCAUGCUUGUUUUAUUGAAUGUGCCUUGUAACAAAGAACCUGUUGGAGUUAACUUCAGGAUGUAACAUGUACUACUAUACUGAAUGGGGCUACUGUAAUGAAUUAUUGGAAAUUUAGUAUCCUGCUGCUGAAGCUCUAUUGAACUAGCUGAGCUGCAAGAUCUAGAAUUUACUAGUGGAACUACAUCUGUUGCUAAUGUAUUUUCCUUUGGUCUUAUCAUGUGGGAAAUUAUUACUAGAAUCAAAGCUGAUCCUGAUAUUUUGCCUAGAACAGAGUAUGAUGAAGAUGUAAGAUGCAAAACGAAUGGAUUUCAGAAUGAUUCAACUAAAAUUCCACCACCUUUUCAUAGCCAUAAUAUUGUUUCUGCGUCUUUUCUUUCUGAGAGGAGGAAUCUGAAAGGAGUUGAAAGAUGAUUGUUUAAAAGAAACCUGCAAUUUUCAACCUCAAAUUCAACCUGUUAUGGUGUUUAUCACUCGCACCUUCUUUUGUGUAAUUUCUCAGAUUUGAUAGCAUUUUUUACUCAUUUAAAUAUCAAUUUGCAACCCCGGUGUGUAUUGUAUACAUAUUUUAAUUUCACUUUUGAAGAGGAUUCUAAAAGUACAUGUCAAUGAGGCCUUAUGAAGCACUGAAUGAACAUGUAAAAAAAAUUUUUUUUUAAAUACCUCUUUUAUACUUAAAAAAUUCAUUCAACUAAUUUUAAAAAAUAAACCUUGUAGCUGUAGGAAACAGCUAAUUAGGCAGUUUUGGGUAUAAAUAAAAUCAAUCGUAGCAUCAACCUUUAAACAAAAGUUCUAAUGUGUGUUCAACAAUUUUCAGCUAAAUUAUAUUCUUUACUCAGACUAAUUGCACUGAAUUACAUUUUAUUGAGUAUUAGACAAUCAAAAAUAGAAGCUUUCAGAAUCACGGUUAAUUUUGCCAACAUUGCAUGUCUUGCCAUAAAAGAAUUGAAACAGAAUAGCUUAUCAUAUUAACUUUUGAAUAUUUCAUAUCUAGUGGUGUGAAAAUAAUUUUAAAUCAAAUUUACAUAAACAAAGAAUCGUUCAUUCAAACAUGAAGUUUGCUACUACAAUAAGAAAUUUUUCCAAAACUAUGGGAAGUUGGCUACCCUUCUUUAAUUAUGCAUCAUUUUGCUUCAUUUUUUUACAAAAAAAAUUAAGUUUUUUAAAAUUAUAUGAAUUAAAAGUGUACCUGUUUAUUAGAAACUGCAUGGAGAGAUUGUUUUGUUGCAAAAAGAGUUAUCUUAUUUUUGUGAAAUAUUUUCAUACAUGGCUUUAUUAACCUGCUUUCAUCGCAAAGAUGUGGGAGUACCAUUUACAACUAAAUUAGCCAUCGGCUACAACGUCAUAGAGCAUUGGCUUGAAUUUUUGAAUUUAAUGUGGACCACUUAAAUAUACAUAUCUGCAUGAUGCUCAAUGUUUCAUUUAUUUUUUAAAAAAAUGAUUUCCUCAUUUUGCAGAUGCGAUAUUUAAAUGACAUAAUCAAAUUUAACUGACAUAAUUGAAUCAUGAGAACUGAGUGAACUGUAUUAUGUUAGUCAGCAAUAUUUAAAUAGUAAUAUAGUUAUUUAAUAAAAAAAUUAAAUAAAUUUUUUUUUUUUUACUUGUGUAAGAAAUAUUCGAAGUUUCCGUUGUCUGUCCGACUAGUAUAACCAAUGAUAUAAUGAUGUACACUAACAUUUGCAAACAAGAUCUUUUUAAUUAAUGAUAUCAAUAUACUUCGUCUUCCA